rnacentral:rRNA from 1 species
UAGUCAUAUGCUUGUCUCAAAGAUUAAGCCAUGCAUGUCUAAGUAUAAACUUUUAUACAGUGAAACUGCGAAUGGCUCAUUAAAUCAGUUAUAGUUUAUUUGAUAAUCUCUUACUACUUGGAUAACCGUGGUAAUUCUAGAGCUAAUACAUGCACCAAAACCCGACGCAAGAAGGGUUGUAUUUAUUAGAUAAAAACCAUCGCAGGCAACUGCACCUUGGUGAUUCAUAAUAACUUUGCGGAUCGCAUGACCUUGUGUCGGCGACGUAUCAUUCAAA